rnacentral:lncRNA from 1 species
GGGGCUUGACCACAGCCCAAAGCCCAUGACGUAGAGGCCCACAUACCUGAUGUACAUAACAAGCCUGGCUCAUCCAACCCUCAAGGCCGGGCUCGACCCAUCCUCUUCACUCAGGCUUAGCGUCCAGCCCAACUUUCGGCCCAACCCAGGAUCCAGAAUAAUAUUCACCAGACAGCCUGGCAGAUCCGCUUGAACGUACACACGAGGGGAAUCAGAGGCCGUUACACAUGGAGCAGGCGGCUGAUACCCUAGUACCUCCGAAUCCGCAUGGCAG